AGUUCCCAUCAGGCUCAGCACCAGGCCUCAGUUCCCCUCCUUGUCAGAGGACGCCUCGACACACACGGGGCCCCUUCCUCCGUGGCUUCGGUUAGUGUGUGCAAAGUGGGCAAGAGGCCCCGGGGGGAGGCGGCGCCCGAUGCUCUGAGCCGAUGUCCUCCCGGUGCCGAGACAGGUCUCCGGGAGCGCUGACCCCGACCUCUUCCUGGCAAAAGCAAGAAGGAGCUGGGCCCUGUGUGGCAGCCCACCCUGCAGCUGGGGGGGGGGGGCAGCUUCUGGAGCCUGCUUGUGCCGGUCAUCUGUGUGCAGGUGCGCAUGGGAGCCUGCGCGUGCGCGCUGUGAACAUGUCCGCAUGUGAGUAAGCGUGCACGUGCACAUGCAUCUGUGUGCAUGUGAGUGUGCGCAUGGGAGCCUGCGCGUGCGCGCUGUGAACAUGUCCGCAUGUGAGUAAGCGUGCACGUGCACAUGCAUCUGUGUGCAGGUGCGCAUGGGAGCCUGCGCCUGCGCGCUGGGAACAUGUCCGCAUGUGAGUAAGCGUGCACGUGCACAUGCAUCUGUGUGCAUGUGAGUGUGCGCAUGGGAGCCUGCGCGUGCGCGCUGUGAACAUGUCCGCAUGUGAGUAAGCGUGCACGUGCACAUGCAUCUGUGUGCAUGUGCGCAUGGGAGCCUGCGCGUGCGCG